CACUGUAAAGCUUCACUUAUUAUGACCAAAUUCUAUAGUUAAAUAGUUUAUUUUAAGAAUGGUCUAUAAUUUUCUGAAUUAUUAUAUUAAUAUAGUUUCAAUACAUGGAGUACCUGAUUAUCUGUGUGAGACAGAGUUGAGAGCUUGAGAGGGAGAGAAUGAACAUUAAAGAGUAAAGGAGAGACAGAAAUUGUGAUUGAGGAAAGGAGAGCAAUAGGCAAAGGAAUGGGAGAGAGAAAGGGAGGCAGUGAAAGAGAAGGAGAGAGAGGGAGACAAAUAGAGUGAGAGAGCAAUGAAUAAAAGGUACAGAGGUGGGGACAAAGUGUUGUAUAUAAAUAAUAUAUUCACAUAUUGCUUGAAUGUAGACUAUCAUAUAUUUUCUAGAGGCUGACAGAACUAGUGUUUAUUAAUUUGUACCAAUACUCACGAAAUAUCUUAUUCUCUUUUAAUAAAAUGGAUUAAUAAAAGAAAAAU